rnacentral:rRNA from 1 species
UGGGGAAUAUUGGACAAUGGGCGAAAGCCUGAUCCAGCCAUGCCGCGUGUGUGAAGAAGGUCUUCGGAUUGUAAUGCACUUUAAGUUGGGAGGAAGGGCAGUAAGCGAAUACCUUGCUGUUUUGACGUUACCGCCAGAAUAAGCACCGGCUAACUCUGUGCCAGCAGCCGCGGUAAUACAGAGGGUGCAAGCGUUAAUCGGAAUUACUGGGCGUAAAGCGCGCGUAGGUGGUUCGUUAAGUUGAAUGUGAAAGCCCCGGGCUCAACCUGGGAACUGCAUCCAAAACUGGCGAGCUAGAGUAGGGCAGAGGGUGGUGGAAUUUCCUGUGUAGCGGUGAAAAGCGUAGAUAUAGGAAGGAACACCAGUGGCGAAGGCGACCACCUGGGCUCAUACUGACACUGAGGUGCGAAAGCGUGGGGAGCAAACAGG